rnacentral:rRNA from 1 species
GGACUACUGGGGUUUCUAAUCCUGUUUGCUCCCCACGCUUUCGUACCUCAGCGUCAAUACUUGUCCAGUCAGUCGCCUUCGCCACUGGUGUUCUUCCGAAUAUCUACGAAUUUCACCUCUACACUCGGAAUUCCACUGACCUCUCCAAGAUUCUAGCAAAUCAGUCUCAAGGGCAGUUCUGGAGUUGAGCUCCAGGCUUUCACCCCUGACUUGAUUCGCCGCCUACGUACGCUUUACGCCCAGUAAUUCCGAACAACGCUAGCUCCCUCCGUAUUACCGCGGCGGCUGGCAC